rnacentral:rRNA from 1 species
UACGUAGGUGGCAAGCGUUGUCCGGAAUUAUUGGGCGUAAAGGGUGCGUAGGCGGCUCUUUAAGUGGGAUGUGAAAUCCCCGGGCUUAACCCGGGAAUUGCAUUCCAAACUGGGGAGCUAGAGUGCAGGAGAGGAAAGUGGAAUUCCCAGUGUAGCGGUGAAAUGCGUAGAGAUUGGGAGGAACACCAGUGGCGAAGGCGACUUUCUGGACUGUAACUGACGCUGAGGCACGAAAGUGUGGGGAGCAAACAGG